UACGUAGGAGGCGAGCGUUAUCCGGAUUUACUGGGCGUAAAGCGCGUGCAGGCGGCUUGGCAGGUUGGAUGUGAAAUCUCCCGGCUCAACCGGGAGAGGCCGUUCAAAACCGCCAGGCUAGAGGACGGCAGAGGGAGGUGGAAUUCCCGGUGUAGUGGUGAAAUGCGUAGAUAUCGGGAGGAACACCAGUGGCGAAGGCGGCCUCCUGGGCCGUGCCUGACGCUCAGACGCGAAAGCUAGGGUAGCAAACGGG
rnacentral:rRNA from 1 species